rnacentral:lncRNA from 1 species
AGAGUGAAGAAGAAGAGGAGGAAGAGGAAUGGCAAAGGGAAGAGAGAGAAGAGGGAGAAGGAAGAAGAGGAGGAGAUUAUGCACGACACUUGUUAAAAUUGCAACACUGAGACGGUAUUAGCAGCCCAGUUCUUCAUUUGAGAAGACCAAAGCACAGAGGGGCUAAGUGAUUUGCCCGGGCCCACACAGCUGGGUUGUUGCUGAGCCAGCAUUUGAAACCAGUGCCUCCACCACCAGUCUCUCAUGAAUGACUCUCCUUGUCAGGGCCCAGAUGGAAGCCAGCUGACAUGCAAGCCUGGGAACUGCAGCCUGCAGAGAUCAACAACCCCACGGAGUCACAGAGCAGAGCAGGUGAAGGAAGAAGAAUGGGUUUGAGGCAAACAGGGCCAGGAUCGGCAGGCCUUGUCCUCCAGGAAGCCUUUCCCACCCCACCUCAGGCUGGAAUAGGGGCCUUCGUAGGCUGAAUGAUGGCCUCCCAAAAAUGUUCACUUCUUAAUCCCUCAACCCUCUGAAUAUUACCUUAUAUGACAAAAGAUGUGACUAAGACGUGUUAAGGAUCUUGAAAAGAGAGACUGAAGCUGGGUUUUCUGGAUGGGCUUCAUAGACAGACACACAGAAGAAAAGGCAAUGUGAAGACAAGACAGAGGCCGGAUGGAGGUGAUGCCACCACAAGCCAAGGAAUGCUGGCAGCUGCUAGAAGCUGGAGGAGACGGGGAACAAAUUCUCUGCUAGAGCCUCCAGAGGAAAGACAGCCCUGUUCACAUCUUGAUUUCAGAAGUCUGGCCUCCAGAACUGCGAAAGAAUACGUGACUGUUAUCUUAAGCUACAAGUCUGUGUAUUGUGCUCCUCCAUCGUAUUCCCAAAACAGCAUCCCUGGCUUCUGUCCCGUGCCCAUUGUCCUUUCAUGCUGAAGCAGCUUAUUGCAUUGUCUUAUCUGUCCUACCAGGCUGACCUCCUUGAGGGCAGAAUUAGAUCUUGGAGAGAGAGCGCCCUAGUUCUCAACAUUGUGACGGGUAUAUAAUGGAUGACAAAUAAAUAUUAACUUGACUUUA